rnacentral:rRNA from 1 species
GACGAACGCUGGCGGCGUGCCUAACACAUGCAAGUCGAGCGAAUGAAGUUCCUUCGGGACUGGAUUUAGCGGCGGACGGGUGAGUAACACGUGGGCAACCUGCCUCAUAGAGGGGAAUAGCCUUCCGAAAGGGAGAUUAAUACCGCAUAAGAUUGUAGUAUCGCAUGAUACAGCAAUUAAAGGAGCAAUCCGCUAUGAGAUGGGCCCGCGGCGCAUUAGCUAGUUGGUGAGGUAACGGCUCACCAAGGCGACGAUGCGUAGCCGACCUGAGAGGGUGAUCGGCCACAUUGGGACUGAGACACGGCCCAGACUCCUAUGGGAGGCAGCAGUGGGGAAUAUUGCACAAUGGGGGAAACCCUGAUGCAGCAACGCCGCGUGAGUGAUGACGGCCUUCGGGUUGUAAAGCUCUGUCUUCAGGGACGAUAAUGACGGUACCUGAGGAGGAAGCCACGGCUAACUACGUG